UACGUAGGGUGCGAGCGUUAAUCGGAAUUACUGGGCGUAAAGCGUGCGCAGGCGGUUUUGUAAGCCAGAUGUGAAAGCCCCGGGCUUAACCUGGGAAUGGCAUUUGGGACUGCAAGGCUUGAGUGCGGCAGAGGAGACUGGAAUUCCUGGUGUAGCAGUGAAAUGCGUAGAUAUCAGGAGGAAUACCGAUGGCGAAGGCAGGUCUCUGGGCUGACACUGACGCUGAUCUGCGAAAGCUAGGGGAGCAAACAGG
rnacentral:rRNA from 1 species